GUCGUUUUUCUCUUAAUGCAUGCUUUUACCUCAGGAUUUAUUACUGCAGAGCAUUAAAAUGUAACACUCUCUUGAAAAGUAGUAGGUAUUAAUACUUUUAAUAGUAUGCCUUGUAUUAAUAUUGUUGAAUCUGACCUGGGAUUUAUUUGUGUCUCUUGAUUUCACUGGAGUAUUCUCAUCCUAUGGAAUGUGGGUAGACCAAAUGUUAACCAGGUUUUUAGAGAGUGAGAAAUAUCACAUAUAUCGCCUUUUAUUUAAUGUAGAUUAUGGUUAAUAAGCUGAUUUGUAUUCUUAGUGUUUAUUUUGGCUAGAAAUAAUUACUAUUUCCUCAAUUUUAUUUCAGAGAAUACCUGAAUUAUUAAAUCAUCCAAGUCUUCCCUAUUUGAGACAUAUUCAUAUUUGAAAAUCCCCAACUCUUUGUAAUUGCUUAUUUUGAAAAGUGUGGAUUAAAAUUUAUAGUCAA
rnacentral:lncRNA from 1 species